GAAUCAAGUUUUUCACAAAGCUACCUAUUUCAACAAUAAAAUUAUUUAUGAAGCUCAAUGACAUAUUAAAAGACAAGUCGGCUCACUCAUAAUGUUACAGCAUAUCCAUUCCCAGAUCUUCAACUUUUUAUACUAAAAAUGUUCUCAUUUAUAGAAUUAGAUACAUAAUUACAAAAUCAAACAUCUCACCUUACUCUAAAGGGUUUUUUUGCUCCCUAUUGUACAAUCCGUGCUCUUUAUAGAAAAAUCUGGAGAUAAUCAAAACAAAAUAAAAAUCACCCACGAUCUCAUCACUUCAAGAAAACUAAUGUCGCUGGUUUUAAUUAUAUCCUUCCACGGUUUCUUCAUAUUUUCAACUGAAAAUACAUUAAAGUGGCUGACACACUGUUAAAUCUCCUAGCCCCCCAGAAUUCGUACGCCCCCACGCACACAGUCGAGUCUGGGCUCCACUGAGAUCCGUGUUUCUUCAGCUUCUCCAGCCCAGUAAUGAACUAACUCACGCAAGAUUCAGAGAUCAGGAACGCACUUGAAGUCGAGCGGGAGUGAAUAACCUGGUUUAUGGCAAAGUUUCAGCCAUUAACACUAAGAAAGGAGUUACUGUCCACAGGCCACACACGUCCCGUGCGCCCCAACUUCGGACACAAGCGCCCGCGGCUCCCACACUUUCAGGGUAAAUAUUACUCUUCUUCCUUCUGAAAUGGGACGACUGGGGUGAUCUCCGGCCCACACCCGCGCCGCGCCCGGAGCUGCAGCUCGCGGCGUCUCAGCGCCCUCCGCACUGGCCUCCCGCCUCCGUCCGCCUGCCCCACCCCCCAGCCGCCCGGCCCUCGGGGCCCCGCUGCCGGUCAGCAGCCCUGACGAGCGCGGCCUGGCGCGGCUCACGGAGCCCGCGCCGCCGUCUCCGCCCGACAGCGGCAGAACCAGCGGCAGCGCCGCCUCCGGCCUCGCACGCAUGACGCCCGGGACCCUGGCCUCGGACCCCGACUCCUACCUCACCGCCGAGCCGGAAGCAGGAAGGAGGAAGCCGCAGCCCCCCGCCCCGCCCACAGGCCCGGCGCAGCCCGGAUCCGGCCCGAGGAAGUCGCGGGGCCAGUUUCCGGCCGCGCCAUUGCCGUGUGGGUCCCGGCACCGCGACUCCGAGGUCGUGGGGCGGGGAGGCGGGGCGGGAUGGGACCGCGCUGGGGCUUCCGGGGAGAGGCAGGUGAGGCCGCGCGGGCUCGGCGGCGGCGCCGGGGCCGGCCUCCGGCGUCCGGGAGCGGGCCUUCGACCUCUGCCCCCGAGGUCAGCGGGGAAACAGUCCCCCGCCGCUGGAGUGAGGCCCGGGGGUGGGGGUGGAGGGUCCCGCAGCGGGUCUGGGGCCCCUGGAAACUCAGAGCAAAGAGCGGCAGCAAGGAAGGAGUUGGUCCCCACAAACCGCCCAGAGUCAAGAUUUUGGAUAAGUCAUUGUCAAGGUAACUACAGACAGCUGUGGUGUGUUGCAAGCAUGCCAGCCAUGGAGGCAGAAAGCCUGGGUUUGAAUUCCAGUUACUCACAAAUUGUAAGUUGGUAUUAUUUUUAUCCCUCCUCUGUUAAAAUGCUUUCUUAA
rnacentral:lncRNA from 1 species